rnacentral:tRNA from 1 species
GGAGAGAUGGCAGAGUGGUCGAUUGCGGCGGUCUUGAAAACCGUUGAACUGAAAGGUUCCCGGGGUUCGAAUCCCUGUCUCUCCG